AUUGAACGCUGGCGGCAUGCCUUACACAUGCAAGUCGAACGGCAGCAUGGAAGAGCUUGCUCUUCUGAUGGCGAGUGGCGAACGGGUGAGUAAAGCAUCGGAACGUACCGUGUAGUGGGGGAUAACGUAGCGAAAGUUACGCUAAUACCGCAUACGCACUGAGGUGGAAAGCAGGGGAUCGCAAGACCUUGCGCUAUACGAGCGGCCGAUGUCAGAUUAGCUAGUUGGUAGGGUAAAGGCCUACCAAGGCGACGAUCUGUAGCGGGUCUGAGAGGAUGAUCCGCCACACUGGGACUGAGACACGGCCCAGACUCCUACGGGAGGCAGCAGUGGGGAAUUUUGGACAAUGGGCGAAAGCCUGAUCCAGCCAUGCCGCGUGAGUGAAGAAGGCCUCGGUUGUAAGUA
rnacentral:rRNA from 1 species